rnacentral:lncRNA from 1 species
CUAAAAUCUAAAAUUGCCAAAAAGUAGGAGCUGGGGAUUGUGGCUAAAGCGGUAGUGUGCUUGCCUGGCAUGUGCACAGUGCUGGGUUCGAUUCUCAGCACCACAUACAAAUAAAAUAAAGAUGUUGUGUCCACCGAUAAACUAAAAAAUAAAUUUAAAAAAUUAUCUCCCUCUCUUUCAAAAUAAAUAAAUAAAAUAGCCAAAAAGUAAGUAAUUUGGGCUUCUGAACCAUGACUACAUGGAUGUUUAGGAUUUGGAUCCUAAACAAGAUUUUUUUUUUUAGAUUUAAAAAAAUCUUUAUUCUUAAUAUUUAAUCUGUGAUAUAAUCUCUUGCAUCUUUGACACACAGUGAAAGGAAGGGCUUUUGGGGCUAUUUGGUGUCUGCCUGUCCACUGUCAAAUCAACUCGCAUUAGAAUCUGGCACAUGAGUAGUAUGCAGUGAAUAUAUAGCCAUGCACACACGUAUAUUUCAGUUGAAUAUACAUAUGUAUUUAUACAUUUCACACAUAUUGCUUGUGUUCAGAUCAUAGCUUUAGUGUGCAGUUUAUUUCUAAUGUCCAAAUUUCAGGAACUGUUCUUCUCUCUACUUAGAUAUUUUGGUGUUUCCCUUCCCUUAUAGGUAUAAAAGUUGUUAGAGAUAAAACGGCACUGGGGUUGUGGCUCAGCGGUAGAGCACUUGCCUAGCACAUGUGAGGCCCUGGGAUCGAUCCUCAGCACCACAUAAAAUAAAUAAAAUAAAGGUAUUAUAUCCAACUUCAACU